rnacentral:tRNA from 1 species
UAGACCUUUAGCUCAGUUGGUAGAGCGAAUGGCUCAUAACCGUUUCGUCGUAGGUUCGAUCCCUACAAAGCCCAU